rnacentral:rRNA from 1 species
GAUUAGAUACCCUGGUAGUCCACGCCGUAAACGAUGUCGACUUGGAGGUUGUGCCCUUGAGGCGUGGCUUCCGGAGCUAACGCGUUAAGUCGACCGCCUGGGAGUACGGCCGCAAGGUUAAAACUCAAAUGAAUUGACGGGGGCCCGCACAAGCGGUGGAGCAUGUGGUUUAAUUCGAUGCAACGCGAAGAACCUUACCUGGUCUUGACAUCCACGGAAGUUUUCAGAGAUGAGAAUGUGCCUUCGGGAACCGUGAGACAGGUGCUGCAUGGCUGUCGUCAGCUCGUGUUGUGAAAUGUUGGGUUAAGUCCCGCAACGAGCGCAACCCUUAUCCUUUGUUGCCAGCGGUCCGGCCGGGAACUCAAAGGAGACUGCCAGUGAUAAACUGGAGGAAGGUGGGGAUGACGUCAAGUCAUCAUGGCCCUUACGACCAGGGCUACACACGUGCUACAAUGGCGCAUACAAAGAGAAGCGACCUCGCGAGAGCAAGCGGACCUCAUAAAGUGCGUCGUAGUCCGGAUUGGAGUCUGCAACUCGACUCCAUGAAGUCGGAAUCGCUAGUAAUCGUGGAUCAGAAUGCCACGGUGAAUACGUUCCCGGGCCUUGUACACACCGCCCGUCACACCAUGGGAGUGGGUUGCAAAAGAAGUAGGUAGCUUAACCUUCGGGAGGGCGCUUACCACUUUGUGAUUCAUGACUGGGGUGAAGUCGUAACAAGG